UACAGAGGGGGCAAGCGUUAUUCGGAAUUAUUGGGCGUAAAGGGCGCGUAGGCGGCUUUGCAAGUGACGGGUGAAAUCCCACGGCUCAACCGUGGAAGUGCAUUCGAAACUGCAGGGCUAGAGUCCUGGAGAGGAAGGUGGAAUGCUUGGUGUAGAGGUGAAAUUCGUAGAUAUCAAGCGGAACACCGGUGGCGAAGGCGGCCUUCUGGACAGUGACUGACGCUGAGACGCGAAAGCGUGGGGAGCAAACAGG
rnacentral:rRNA from 1 species